rnacentral:lncRNA from 1 species
CUUUGUUAAAAUGGAUCAUGGUGGGGGUUUAGGUUGGGUAAAGAGGUAAAAUUACUAUAUACUGAAGCACUGGGCAAAGAUAAGGGACUUUAUCUGAAUAUAAAGAGCUAUUAGCAGAUUUCAGAAUCUAGGAUCUUGAAGAGCUAAAUUAAGUGCUUAUAGAUGAGUCUGUGAGUCUCAACAGAGGGUGAAAUAAGAUGUAUGAAAAUCCCCUCGGAGACUUUCUUCGAAUGAUACAGGCGUACUACCUACCACCUUUCAUUUGAGAAUCACUUUUCUAAGGUGUGACAAUGCAAAAUAAGAGCCAGUGGAGUACAGAUGAUACCAGAAGUACCCAGCUUCUUAAGCCCUGAUGGCAGUGGAUUUUCUAGCACGUUACUUUUAUGUAAUGAUAUACUAAAAGUUGGAUAAAUGCAAGAAAAAAGUAGAAGACCAUAUGCAUAAGAAUCAGUACCUAUUUGAUUGAAUAAGUAAAUGAAAACCACCUGUGGAAUUUUGUGGAACUGAUAGCAAACUCUUAUAUUUUGGCCUUUAUGCAGAUAACAUGCAAAUGAGGAAAAUUUACUUUUCACGAUUUAGCCCGUUUUUCCUAUUGGCUUUAAAGAAAUAACUUGUAUAUAUGAAUAUUAGGAAUUUCUGUUGAGGGAUGGUAAUUUUUUAUUUUUUUAUUGUACAGUUUUUAAUUUAUACAAUUAUUGAUAUCACUGGCCUAUUUAGUGAUAUUCAGAGUUUAGGUUUCUUAUAAGUUAAAGGUAGAAAGGAAUAUGUACUCUUAAGACACAUUUAGUGUAGCCAACCCAUAGUUUUCGUAACAUAUUUCUGAACAGUUGCUUUGGAGAAAGUAUAAUUUUUCUUAGGUAAAUAAAAGAGGACUUUCCCCAAAGGAUUUUGGUAGAAAGGGCAGUGCCUAACAAUUUCUUCAACACUGUCAUGACAAAGAGACAGUUGGACAUUUUGUGGAAGGGACUUGUAUUCUUGGCUGGCAUCUAAUAUUUUGUCAAACUCUUUAAUACUCUCUGUUUUAGGUUAUUUGUUGAUGGACAGUUGUAUCUGUUCUAGCUGUAUACUGUUCCCAGUUCAUAGUUUGUGUUAAUACUUGUGAAAAUAUAAUGCUAAACGAUGAGCUAUUGUAAUUAGACCUGAGACUUAGCAAGAAAUUCAUAAGGGCUCUAGAUUUUAUUUCAACUUAGUAUUAAAAAGACAUUUAACUUCAGUAAGUAAAUGUAGAUAUACUUUAUAUUUUAAGAGCUGUAAGUUCCAGCAAGUGAAUAAUGUA